GGCGGCUCAACACUUAAGUGUUUGGCUGCUAACCAAAAAGUUGGUGGUUCGAACCCAACAGCCGCUC
rnacentral:tRNA from 1 species